UUAGCUGAUGUCACUUGCGGUUAGCGAAAACCAAAUACUUUGGCUUCGGAGCUUCUAGACAAUUGACAGUUACAAUUAUUGGGGACUUAGAAAUUUUACACCCGUAUUUUGAAUUUCUCUAAUAGAUGGUUUGUUUAAACCCUAAAUUUGCCUUUAAGGCUUUUUCUUAUUAAUUGAAAACAAUCAUUUUUGUUUAAGAACAUUUUUAUUAUGUGAAAUAUUUAUGUUUUUCUUUGGUAGUAGGUACCUACUGUUUUUGAUCUGGUAAUAAUAUAACUUUUAUAAUAUGGUUAAUUAUUUGACUGUAAUUUAUAACUUUCCUAUGGUUAAUUAUUUUAUAGAGAAAUUCAAAAUACUGGUAAAAUUGCUAAGUCCCCAAGAGGUACCGAACUAUAAGUAACAUAUCCUAUACAUAUAGGUACAUAUUAUUAUAAGGUACCUACAUGACAAAGUUUUUUAUUUAAAAUAUUGCUAAUAAGUACUAUAUAAUUAGGUUAAUAAGUAUAUUUUGAAUUUCAUUUACAUUUAUAUAUAUAUAAUCUACCAAGCGCAGUGAGGUUUUUCAUUUACUGUCUUAAACUCAAUGAUGUAUAAGUUGUAUAUGAUGUAUAAGUAGUAUAGGUACAAUAUAUAUACUUUUCAAAUUGCCCGCCAAAUCCAGAGAACUGUCAAUUGUCUAGAAGCUCCGAAGCAAAGUAUUUGGUUUUCUCUAGACGCAAGUGCUGAUGUCUUUCCUGUUAUUUUUAUUUAGUCACUGUUUACAUUGGACAUUUAUUUGUAGAUGUUAGACGAAUAUUCUGUUUGGUUUUGUUUUUUAUUGUUAAUUGUGCAGCGAAAUUGUGAUAGUAAAUUAAAUAUAAAGUUGUUUAUAGCCUACAGAACUGAAUUAUCCCAUAGUAAUUAUCAGUUUGUGUCAAUUUGUUUGUGUGCAAAAAAGAAAAAACACCUUUCCUUGUGUUUGACCGACUUGUAGCAAGGGCUUUCUUGAGAAGCCUGUAAAUUGCGGGAAUAGGACAGACAGGGAUAAAAUCCUCACUUUUUACUGUUCCCAAGGCUAUACAUUUCCCCCAUGCAAUACAUUUAAAUGAAUUUUAUCCAAACAAAGGCAGGAACAUUGGAUAAAAGCAAUAAAGAGAACAGACCACAAAUUAAAAUAUGAGAGUAUGUAGUAAACAUUUUAUAAGUGGAAUAAACACCAGCUAUUUUAAAUGUAGGAAAAGGAGAAACUGCUGGAAUCUAAUUUUACACAAAUGUUUUUGACUAUUGAAGAUUUGGAUAAACAACAGAAGUUACUUUGGGCUAUAGCUAUGUGCAGAUUUAUUUCCUUGUGGAUUACUAUGUUUAUUCUUUUUAACUAUACUUCCUAUAUUGUUUGUGAGAUUAAUAUUAUUAUUUAAUUGAUUAUAUUAAUAUUUUGUAAUAAUAAUCAAUGCUUUGGUUUAACAAAUAGACAACUUAGAAUAGAAAAA